GCGUCCUACGAGAUCCGCCUGCGAGGAAAGAGGGGGUUAGCUGGAAACAAAACGCAGAGGUGAGAGCCGGCGAGGAAGGCCGAAGGCGAAGGCGAAAGCCCGCGAGAUCCGCCUGCGAGGAAGAACCGAGGACGAUAGCCUCCUCCCCCCUGGGUUGUCGGACUGGACCGGUGAUGACCUCGCCGAAAGAAACGCCGGCGUAAACUAGCCGUUAAGCACCUCUGAGGGAAAAGCUUCCCCAGAGUUUCUCUCACUAG
rnacentral:lncRNA from 1 species